CCUACGGGGUGCAGCAGUGAGGAAUAUUGGUCAAUGGGCGCGAGCCUGAACCAGCCAAGUAGCGUGAAGGAUGACUGCCCUACGGGUUGUAAACUUCUUUUAUAAAGGAAUAAAGUGAGGCACGUGUGCCUUUUUGUAUGUACUUUAUGAAUAAGGAUCGGCUAACUCCGUGCCAGCAGCCGCGGUAAUACGGAGGAUCCGAGCGUUAUCCGGAUUUAUUGGGUUUAAAGGGAGCGUAGAUGGGUUGUUAAGUCAGUUGUGAAAGUUUGCGGCUUAACCGUAAAAUUGCAAUUGAUACUGGGAGUAUUGAGGAACGUUGAGGUAGGCGGAAUUCGUGGUGUAGCGGUGAAAUGCUUAGAUA
rnacentral:rRNA from 1 species